rnacentral:rRNA from 1 species
GGAUUGAACGCUGGCGGCAUGCCUUACACAUGCAAGUCGAACGGCAGCACGGGAGCAAUCCUGGUGGCGAGUGGCGAACGGGUGAGUAAUACGUCGGAACGUGCCCAGUUGUGGGGGAUAGCCCGGCGAAAGCCGGAUUAAUACCGCAUACGACCUACGGGUGAAAGCGGGGGAUCGCAAGACCUCGCGCUAUUGGAGCGGCCGAUGUCGGAUUAGCUUGUGGUAGGGUAAAGCCUACCAAGGCUACGAUCCGUAGCUGGUCUAGAGAGGACACCAGCCACACGUGGGACUGAGACACCGGCCCAGACCUCCGACGGGAGCAGCAGGUGGGUAAUUUGGACAAGUGGGACGAAAGCCUGACUCCGAGCCAGUCGCCGCGGU